rnacentral:rRNA from 1 species
AGAGUUUGAUCAUGGCUCAGGACGAACGCUGGCGGCGUGCUUAACACAUGCAAGUCGAACGAUGAACCAGGGCUUGCCCUGGGGAUUAGUGGCGAACGGGUGAGUAACACGUGGGCAACCUGCCCCAGACAUCGGGAUAACCACUCGAAAGAGUAGCUAAUACCGAAUACGACCACUUUGGGCAUCCAACGGUGGUGGAAAGGAUUCUGGUCUGGGAUGGGCCCGCGGCCUAUCAGCUAGUUGGUGGGGUAAUGGCCUACCAAGGCGACGACGGGUAGCCGGCCUGAGAGGGCGACCGGCCACACUGGGACUGAGACACGGCCCAGACUCCUACGGGAGGCAGCAGUGGGGAAUAUUGCGCAAUGGACGAAAGUCUGACGCAGCGACGCCGCGUGGGGGAUGAAGGUCUUCGGAUUGUAAACCCCUUUCGGCAGGGAAGAUGGAAUGGGGUAACCCAUUCGGACGGUACCUGCAGAAGCAGCCACGGCUAACUUCGUGCCAGCAGCCGCGGUAAUACGAAGGUGGCAAGCGUUGUUCGGAUUCACUGGGCGUACAGGGAGCGUAGGCGGUUGGGUAAGCCCUCCGUGAAAUCUCCGGGCCUAACCCGGAAAGUGCAGAGGGGACUGCUCGGCUAGAGGAUGGGAGAGGAGCGCGGAAUUCCCGGUGUAGCGGUGAAAUGCGUAGAGAUCGGGAGGAAGGCCGGUGGCGAAGGC